rnacentral:rRNA from 1 species
UGGGGAAUAUUGCACAAUGGGCGAAAGCCUGAUGCAGCAACGCCGCGUGAGUGAUGAAGGUCUUCGGAUUGUAAAGCUCUGUCUUUUGGGACGAUAAUGACGGUACCAAAGGAGGAAGCCACGGCUAACUACGUGCCAGCAGCCGCGGUAAUACGUAGGUGGCGAGCGUUGUCCGGAUUUACUGGGCGUAAAGGGUGCGUAGGCGGAUGUUUAAGUGAGAUGUGAAAUACCCGGGCUUAACUUGGGUGCUGCAUUUCAAACUGGAUAUCUAGAGUGCAGGAGAGGAGAAUGGAAUUCCUAGUGUAGCGGUGAAAUGCGUAGAGAUUAGGAAGAACACCAGUGGCGAAGGCGAUUCUCUGGACUGUAACUGACGCUGAGGCACGAAAGCGUGGGUAGCAAACAGGAUUAGAUACCCUGGUAGUCCACGCCGUAAACGAUGAGUACUAGGUGUAGGAGGUAUCGACCCCUUCUGUGCCGCAGUAAACACAUUAAGUACUCCGCCUGGGAAGUACGAUCGCAAGAUUGAAACUCUAAAGUGAAUUGACGGGGGUCAUA